GGUUGCGAUCAUGCCAGCACUAAUGCACCAGAUCCCAUUAGAGCUCUACAGUUAAGCGUGCUUGGGCGUGAGUAGUACUAGGAUGGGUAACCUCCUGGUAAGUCCUCGUGUUGCACCUC